rnacentral:lncRNA from 1 species
GGGAGCAUUCUGUCUAUGCAGUUUUCAGGUGUGUAUUACUGGGUUGUAACUGUGGAAAGAUAAGCAUCUUUGCCCAGUGUUUGGUACAUAUUACAUGCUCAAUAAAUAUUUGUUGAAUGAUGAAUGAAUAAAAGGCUAAAAUGUUUACACUUAGAUGCAUUGUCUACAUGAGUAAAAGUACCACCCAAUGGACUUCUUUUUGACUGAAGUGUUAAGAAACCAAAGAUUUUGACACCACCAAGAUUUUAAAUGAUGAAAAUGUGGAGAGAACAGUGUUCUGUGUUGUUUAUACGGAGCACUGCAGUCUUUGGAAUCCCACGUCACCUCUGCACAGCGUGUUCAUGGGAGGAUCGCCUGUCACCGCAGCACCUCUGGGAAGAAAGACAGCAGCCAACUGGCUCAUGGCACAGCAGUAGCAAGAGAAGAAAUUUCUGGCCAACAAGUCUGUAGCAAAUAUAGUCUGCUGUUAAUCAUGCUCAGUAGGAAGGUUUUUGCAGUUCUUUCUUUCUUCUGUAGCUCUCCUCAGUAGGCUAGCCACCAGAGACAGGGUCUUGCUAUAUAGACCAGGCUGACUUUGAACUCAUCAUGUAGCCCAGCCUAGCCUCAAACUCAUGGCAAUCCUCCUGCCUCAGCCUCUUGAGUUUUGGGGUCACAAGUAUGCAUCAUCACAUCAAGG